AGAGUUUGAUCCUGGCUCAGGAUAAACGCUGGCGGCGUGCCUAACACAUGCAAGUCGAACGCUCUCUUGCCGCAAGGUGAGAGGGAGUGGCGGACGGGUGAGUAACACAUGGGAAUCGACCCAUUCGUGAGGAAUACCACCGAGAAAUCGGUGACAAUACCGCAUACGCUUUCUUCGGGAAGCAAAGCUCUUCGCAAGAGGGGCGCGAGUGGACGAGCCUGUGCCUGAUUAGCUGGUUGGUGGGGUAAGAGCCUACCAAGGCUGCGAUCAGUCGCUGGUCUGAGAGGAUGAUCAGCCACACUGGGAUUGAGAACGGCCCAGACUCCUACGGGGGGCAGCAGUGAGGAAUAUUCGGCAAUGGGGGCAACCCUGACCGAGCAACGCCGCGUGCAGGAAGACGGCCUUCGGGUUGUAAACUGCUUUUCUGGGGGAAGAGAACGGACGGUACCCCAGGAAGAAGCUCCGGCUAACUACGUGCCAGCAGCCGCGGUAAUACGUAGGGAGCGAGCGUUGUCCGGAGUUACUGGGCGUAAAGCGCACGCAGGCGGUCUGUCGCGUUCGUGCCGACAGCGACUCGCCUAACGAGUCGAGGAGUACGGAAACGGGCAGACUUGAGGGCCAGAGAGGGACACGGAACUCCGGGUGGAGUGGUGAAAUGCGUAGAGAUCCGGAAGAACACCAAAGGCGAAGGCAGUGUCCUGGUUGGUACCUGACGCUCAGAGGCGACAGCUAGGGGAGCGAACGGGAUUAGAUACCCCGGUAGUCC
rnacentral:rRNA from 1 species